rnacentral:misc_RNA from 1 species
GUGAUCGUUUGCCGCGGUCGAGCCAGAAGGCGUUUCGUUACGCCAUUGUUGUAUGGGACAGCGCUCGAGGCGCGCACCGGGCCUGGGGACGCUCCACGCCGUCUUACCGUUUUUCACCAACUCCAUUGCUGUGAUAUUAGAUUGUUUUAUAUCUCCUUACUGGAAACGAGGGAACGAAGACAGAACUACCAUGGAGGACGACCAGCAGUUCUGCCUCAGGUGGAACAACCACCAGAGCACGCUCGUACAAAAUUUCGACACACUCCUCGAAAGCGGGACGCUGGUUGACUGUACCCUGGCAGCGGAAGGUAGAUACCUUAAGGCCCACAAGGUAGUUCUAUCGGCGUGCAGUCCAUACUUUGAGGGCCUCCUCAGCGAACACUAUGACAAGCAUCCAAUCUUCAUACUUAAAGAUGUUACGUUUAAUGAACUUAAGGCAAUGAUGGAUUACAUGUAUAGGGGGGAAGUAAAUAUUGGUCAAGACCAAUUGACACCUCUUCUCAAAGCCGCUGAGUCUCUGCAAAUUAGGGGUCUUUCCGAUAAUAGAACGGGUGAAAGUAGGAAGGCAGACUCCAGGCCACAGAAAACCGUCUCACAACCGACAGCACCGUCGUUAGACAUUCCACACACGUCUUCCGGUCUGACGAUAGAAAAGAACAGAGUUCCUAGGCAGAGUAUGGCACAAGGUACCGUGGGGGAUUUACCGGAGGACACGGCCAGUCCGCAAGUUUCGAAAGGGAUCUCCUCGAGGGAAGGAUCUCAAAGUCCUAUACUAAGAAAAAGGAAGAGGCUUCGGAGAAGAAGCGCAGGCGAAGAUACAACAACAGAAAGCCAAGAUGCUUCGAAUUCGAGCGAUAUGCCCCAGCAAAUGGGUGGCCCGUCGCUUGGAAUCACGCCUGUAGCGGAGGAGAGAGUACACGCAGACCCAACUGACUCUCUCGGCAGGUCAGCUCUGAUGACACAGCUAACGAAGCCCGCCGACGAGAUGCUGCAGCUGCCACUUGAAAAACCCGAGCCAAGCGAUAAUCUCGUCGAGCCAAAGUCUGAAUACCUCGAGGAGACCGAGGAGGGCGUCGAAGAUUUGACGCUAGAUGAUGAUAUGAACGAUCUUAACGAGAUGGAGCAGGACAACAAUCGAGCUGGACCGUCCCACGACUCCUCCCAGCAUCCUGCAGGCCUUGGGGCGUGGCAUGUUACUGGUGACCGAAGUAACGCGGGAGGUGUCGUGGGGUCUGUUGGUGGAGCUCCAGGAUCCGCGGAUGAAGUGUUUCUCGCAGCCCAGGAGGCUGUUCAGGCCCAUCGCGACUCUCAAGUGUCGCACACGGGUUACAUGGCCGAGCACAAGCUGCGUAAUCGGAGAUACCCCUGCCCAAGGUGCGGCAGCACAUUCAGCCAAAAGAGCAACAUGUUGACGCAUUUUAGGCACGAGUGCGGGAAAGAGCCGCGGUUCCAGUGCCCCUAUUGCGGCAAGAAAGACCGGAAGUCGUCCAACACCUACAGGCAUAUCAGAAUGCACCACAAGGGCAACAGCAUCCAUGUGUAUCGAUUGUAUUGAUCCGCAAGCAGCAGUGAUGCUCGACGCUACGGUCGUCUCGCACGUCGGCAGCCCAACGGCAUUUCGUCGAGAAGCACGAGCAGCCAGCAAUCGUUCACUCGCUCGGGCCUGAUCUCACCUGCGCCUCGCGACCAUCACGUCGUCGGUCGUCCUGGGCGCCGUAGCUCGACGGACGAGCUGCGUUCGAUUUGCGGCGCAGGCAAGGAGGCGAAGAGGUGGCCCGUCGCAUCGUCGUGCUCUACGCUAGGAACCCGAGGGACGCGUAAAGAGUCCUGACCCGUCCUCGUCAUGCUCCACGAGCACGUGGAGGCUCCAACGGAUGGCUCCUGCAGCCUUACGACGCCGGCAUCUUGGACAUCCUGCAAGCGAGAUACAGCGGCAACGAGGUGAAGAACGAAAACGGGCCGUUCUGGCGGCAGUCCGGCAAGAUGGCGUACCACUGUCCCAGGUGCAACGCCGGCUACACCUACAAGA